ACACAAUGGUCAACAUCAAGAAAAUAUCAUUUUACAUAUUUGUUGCUUUGUAAAUACAAUCUUGUUUUCAAAUUACAAAACUAUUUUAGACGCGUAAUUAUCUUUUUAAAAUAAAACAAUUUCUACUGCCCUUACUGCAAUGGAAAAAUUAAAGGGAGGGCCUGGCUCAUCAGUGGUGAACCCUCCCAGCGGUUUCGCCAGUUUAAUCUACCAUACCGCUGUUAUAUUGCAUUUUUGGAACUUCCUUUUAUAGUGAUACUGAUGCUUGACUUUUUGAAUGGGUAUUUUAGAUGAACUAUGGACAUAAGCUUUUAGGACAGCAGAAUUAUUAAACUGGCGAAACCGCUGGGAGGGUUCACCACUGAUGAGCCAGGCCCUCCCUUUAAUUAAUUUUUCCAUUGCAGUAAGGGCAGUAGAAAUUGUAUUAUUUUAAAAAGAAUAUUAUGCGUCUAAAAUAGUUUUGUAAUUUGAUAACAGAUGGCGCGCUAGUGCAUCGAAACAAACUUGUUUCUCAGAGGUUUCUGUGUUGUGUUGAUGUAACUCCUCCAACUUUGCUACUUAUUGCUCUGUGGUUUCAAUAUUAAAUACAUGCUAAAAGGUAUAACUUCCUUAAGUUUUGAUAAUGCACAAUUUGGAUUAUAGAUUAUAAACACAAGGUAAUAAGACCAAAUCCAAAUAGUGUGUGAUGUUUCUGUAACAACGCGGUUACCGAAACCUCACACACUAUUUAUUUGGAUUUGGUCCUAUUACCUUGUGUUCCUUAAGUUUUGUCCAUGUGAGUGUAUAUUAUAAAAAAUAUAUCAAUUUGCGUUAAAAAUGUGGUAAGGUAUAAUUUUUUUGGUUUAAAGGUAAAGACAUCACAAAGUAAUCCAAAUAGGUGAAAAAUACCUGAUGGAAAAGUGACUGCAUUGGUUUUAGCUCUUAUAUCAAACUUACUGAUUUGGUUUUUCUACCUUGUGAUGUUAAUUUGUUCAAAGUUGAUUUAUUGAUAAGGCACAAUUUGGAUUAUAGAUUACUAGCGAACCCGGCCACGCGUUGCUGUGGCUAAGUUGUAAUAUGUUAAAUUAAUAUUAUACUAAACUAUUCAGUACAGUAAAGUUAAUAUUCACUUAUAAAGAUAAAAAUGUUUUAGCCGAUCUAAAGCCCUACGGGAUUGAGAAUGGACGUUACGUUAAAAUUUGAAAGUGAUUUUUAUAUAUAUAGAUAAUAUAGCCCUUUAUUGUACUUAUUGAUUAUAAUCACUGCAUUAAUAAAUGUCAGUGAACCUGUUUUUUUAUUUUUGAAUUAAAUGAUCUAGCCGAACCCGGGCAGACGUUGCCCUGCCUCUACGCACCUCUAUAUAUAUAAAAAUGGAUGCCUGUAUGUGUUUGUAAUCAAGAAUCUAGCAUGUGCUGGGGAAAAAUUAAAGAUGAGUCAUAAAGAAUUGAUGAAAAAAUAUAUAGAUUUUAUUAAUAGCAAUAUUUGAAUGAAUAUCAUAUUGUAUCAUAUGAAAACUAAUCUAUCGUAACGCGAGUGGAUACACAAUAUUUUUGGUCCUCUCGUUUGGUGCGUAGAUAUAUAGAUAUUUUGGCGUUCCAACCCGGGAGCAAGCGACGUAGAGUUGACCAUGUGAAAAACAUGGAUUUCCUAAAUGCAAACCGUCAACUCGCAGCGACUGUCCUUGGGAUUUGUUGAUUGUCAUUGCGAAAGCGAGACGCACGGGAAACUGAAGUCGCUUGAAUGUGAAGGGCAAAUCAGUGGGGAUCAUUGGAAUGCGCAGAAUGAGCACAUCCUCUCCUUUACAUUUGCCACUGAUUAUCGUCGUUUCAAUCACAUUCGGCAUCAACCUUUUUACGGAAAGUCUGGUUCCGUUGCACAACUUGGGUGUGUUGAGAUUCCGAAGAAGCAAUAUUGGCGAGCCAACUUUCAACGACAAUACAUGCGGUGGCAUUCCAGGAGGCUCCAAUGAAUUGAGAAAUUCGACUGGAUAAUUGACAGCUUGGUCCUCUUCUGUGACUGUGUCAAUAGAUUUGUAUUGCGUGACCGCUCCAGGAAUUUUCAAUUGAAUCUUAUGAUUGAUGCGAUUGACGUCAUUAUUCUUCGGAGCUAAGAUAGCUCGCUCGCAAAGCCAGUCGUGAUUCUUGAAAUUAGUGGCAAUAUCCGGGAAAACUACCUUUUCAAGAUCUCCAAUUGACGCCUGAAGUUGACAGAAGUUCGGUGGGAACGAUAUCUCGUGUGUUGCAGGAUCAACCGGAAUUUUUUGCCGUCGCCCAUAUUCAAAAGCUGCUUGGCAAAUGUUUGUGCAGAAACAUCUCCAUGUAAAUGCACACGCAUAUUGGUCGACAGUGUAAUUUUCUUCACAUGUCUCCAGAGAGCCGAUUUCUUCAAGCAUGUGUUCAGCUCAUCUGCUGGUGUUGCUCUUGGAAUGACAGGCAAGAUUUGACGGAAAUCACCAGCGAGCAGUAUCAGAGCUCCACCCAUUAGGGGUUGAUUGCCUCGGAAAUCGCGAAGAGUACGAUCAAGUGCCUCAAGCGCUUUCUUGUGAGCCAUCGUACAUUCAUCCCAAAUGAUGAUUUGGCACGUUUUCAACACAGUGGCCAUUCCUGAUGUUUUUCCGAUGUUGCAGAGAGGAACGUCGGCUAUAUUCAAAUUCAAUGGCAGCUUGAAUGCCGAAUGCGCCGUACGUCCUCCAUCGAGCAGUGUUGCCGCAAUUCCCGACGAUGCCACAGCCAGAGCAAUCUCAUGUUUCAUACGAAUUUCGGCGAGUAUCAAAUUGAGCAAAAAUGUUUUCCCAGUUCCUCCUGGGGCAUCAAGGAACAGAAGACCACCAUUUCCGGUUCGCACAUGCUCCGUGACUGUGUUGUACGCAAGGUUUUAUUCGUUUGUUAAGAGUCUUUUCUGAGUCUCAACAUAAACUUGCAGCGUAUCAGCGUCGUAUUGCAUUUCUCGCAACAUAUCUCUGUCGACAGCAUCAUUUCUGCCACGCUCGGGUGAGAUCAAGCCAAGCUGAUUGAGGAUUUUGUUGUUGAUCGACAAACAUAUAUCCUCAAGUGAUAUCAGCGCUUGAUUAAAAAUUUCAUCCGAAUUCUGGGCAUUGGGGUUAGCACUACGUACACGGCGAAGUAUGUCUUCGCUCAUACUCUCUUUAUGCUUCUCCCAUAGGCCUUUUGGGUCUGAAGGCGAGCAGGUUGUCAAAAUGAUAGCAAACAGAGUUCGUAUUUGCUUAGGAUGACAUGUUUCAGAUGCUUCUGCCAGUGUGUUGUCCCAAUGCUGAUCAUUUUCAAGCAGACCAAGCUUGAAGCAUGCCUCUCUAUAUGUCUGACAGAUUUGGCCGUUGACGGUUUUGAUAGCUUCGAACGAUUGCGGGCCUUUGACUACAUGAAGCAGCAUUCGCAAAUAGUAGCAUUCAGCAUUGCUUGGAUGGACAGUAUACACUCGCCCCAAUGCGCCAGUGGAAAACACCUGAACCAUUGAAGAGUGCAGCAUGCCUUGUUUUCUCCGUUGCCACUUCUUCGUUGACUGAUUCCAUGUGUAAUACGUCGGAACCUCAUGAUACAGCAAUGUUGCAGCGAAUGUGUCACUGGCACACAAUUGAAAAAAUGCAGUCAACGUUGUAUUGGGUGGAUUUUCAGCUCGCUGGGCCGCGCUCUCUUCUGUGAAGUAUACUCGUUGACCAUUUUCCAAAUGCACACUGAGAUGGACGACAGCAGGAGAGCGUUCGUGGAUGUCAAAGCCAAGGAUUCGCCAUACAGCUUCAUUGCUGCUGAUAUAACGUCCCAUUUGAAACUGGUCGAUUUCAUUGACGGGUGCAUUUGGAUUUUGAAGUCCAAAAACUGCCAUAUCACUGCCCUUAUUCACGUAUUUACAAAUGUAUUUGAUCGAUUUGACAGAAUUGCAAUACUCCACGUUGAUAUGCGCAUCAAAUGCUUUCGAGAGCAAAGGAGAGUAAGGCACAAUCCACCGGUUAUCAACCUCAAAACCAACGUGAUUGAGUUUGAUUGUUGCUGUGUGGCCACCAUCCUCUGGUUUUCGUCGUCUGUACAGAGGAUAACCGUCGCCACCAGUUUGUGUGUCAUGCACCAGGUCUCUUGGAUACUUUUUGGUGCAUUUGCCGUCCUUUAUGCACGGUGAAUGUGGGUUUUGCGCUCCACACGGUCCGUGAAUCAUAUAUUUCUUGAUAAUCUGGUACAAUUCAGGAUCUUCUUGUGGAUCAGGCAGCUCAGCAGAAAUGAUAUUAUCGAUUUGAGUUGGAAGAAUUUUUUCCUCCAACCAAAUCAAGAUGUGAGCAUGUGGAGUGCCUCUUUUUUGCCAUUCGAUGGAAUACAUCCAGCAGCGUGUUGGACCGUAUAUAUGGUUCUUAACGAUGAGAUCAAUAAAACAUUUCAAUUUCUGUUUGAAAACUCUCGCUGUGAGGUCAUGCCGAUGAGAUGACUGUUGGCCAGGCAGAAGUAGAUUUUUGAUUUCGGCCCAUGCUGGAUUGCAAGUGAAUGUGAGGAAAAGAUCUGGACGUCCAUAUGUGCGAACAUAAGUCAUAGCAUCCUGAGCAUAUUCAUGCAUAUGUCUCGGACUUCCAGCGUACGAAGCUGGAAGUAUGACCAUUUGCCCAAUGUUCGCAGCAGCAGCGGCUCCAUCAUUCGCGAUUGCAUCCCGCAAAUGAAUGUAUUGGUCAGCUCGAAGCUUUGACUGAUUGAAGCGAAUGUAGUUGAGACGUUCGCUUUCGACUUUGGCAUACAUGUCAACGAUGAAUUGUUGGAAAAGUUGACGACACUUCAGGAUGUGGUUGGAUUCUUGGGCUCGAAUCAUGAUGCGAUAUGCAUAGAAGUCCAUACAGCUGACUUUUUUCAUUGUCACGGCGCCUGAGAUAGGAUGAACUUGAUACAGUUCGAGAUGAUAUCCGUCUUCACCGCGCGGAAAAAGUAUUGGAUAUUGAAGGGCGUCGUACGAUCGGUGCGUUUCAGCAACACGUUGCUUGGUUCCAUCUCGUCUGCAGAUAACAAUAUCUCGUCGGGCGAUCUCUGUACCGACAAUCACAGCUGCUACUUCAGGAGUCAUCGGAGCAUUGAAGCGUCGUUCAUGCUCAUUCGUCGGCGUCUUGUCUGCCCUGAUGAUGACUUUCAUAUCAUCCGCUCGCACAUUCUAUACUGCGGAUUUGAAGUCUCGGACCAAACAGUUGUGCUCGUGGAAUAGCGUUUGUAAUUCAGCGAUGAUUGCCCGCCUUGUUGCUUCACUGAAUGCGCAUCGUCGAUCAAUCUCCUCCUCCACGUUGUCCAUGAAAUAAAUCUGCAAAAACCUCGGAUCUUCAUUGGGUACUGGAAGAAGUGAACCAAUCUGAUGGUACACUUGCCCUUGCACUUUGAAUGUGGGCUCGAAAUUUCCAAAACGCUCAAUAUGCGUCGCUCCAAACGAUGUCAUUUGGAAGCAUGAGUUGUACUUCCGAAUAUGCUGAAGGAAAUGUUUCGACUCCCGAGUUGCUCCAGCUACGUAUGUUAGAAGUGGCUGUGGCGGCUCAACCAUCGGAGGCAAAUUGACUUUCCCAUUGGAGCAACACAUCCCGGGUGUUUCCUUCUGAAACUUCAAUGCAUGACAGUGUAGACACAAUUUAUCCAUUGGACCAAUGACCAAAUCUUGAUGCAUUUUGUAAUCGUAUUGUUUAUCGUAGUUGAACGCACCUUUUUUAAGAGCGAUCCUCGUUCGUGAUCGAGCCUGGCGUGAGCGUUGUGCCUCAUGUCGUGCAUCUCGCUCUUCGGGUGUUGCAGCAGCCCUUGAAGUAGACGCUCUGAUUCGUUCGAUUUCCCGUCGUGUGUCUCGCUGUUCGGGUGUUGCAGCAGCUCUUGAAGUAGACGCUCUGACUCGAUCAAUUUCCCGUCGUGUGUCUCGCUGUUCGGGUGUUGCAGCAGCUCUUGAAGUAGACGCUCUGACUCGAUCAAUUUCCCGUCGUGUGUCUCGCUCUUCGGGUGUUGCAGCAGCUCUACUGGCUGACACUUGCCGCGCAUUUCUGGUUGAUCUUCCAAUGUUGUUCUUUUUUCGUGGCAUUUCAAAAACGUCUUACAAUUCAACGUUUGGUGACAAAUGAGUCGUCCGAAGAUAGAAGGCAAUGACCUACAACGAAACAAAAAUACAUAUUUUUACUAUUCUAUUCACAUCUAGUGUAAGGGCGAGUAGAUUAACAAUAUUUUCGGUUUGGUAAUUUGGUAUUUUAAUGUAAAGAGGUCAAGAGGUGAACACAAUUCCAAUGUAAAUGAUAUUAAAUUUCAAACGCACUCAGAAAUUAGUAAUCGCUAUUUGUUAAUUUAAUAAUUCUGUAGGGAGAGAAACGCAAAAAAGCCGAAAAUAACAGUUCAGAGUGAUUCUUUGAAAGGCCAGUAAAGGUUUCAAAUGUUUACUUUUAUUCUUGGUAGCAGGUUAAUCACAUGUAUGACAAUUAGGACCUACUGUAACAUAACACGGCAAUAAAAGCCUACAUUUUGAAUAAAAUAAUAUUUAUAUAAUCUAGCCCUUUAUUGUAAAUAUUGAUUAUUGAUUAUAAUCACUGCAUUAAUAAAUGUCAGUGAACUUGUUUAUAUGUAUUGUUUUUUUGUUUUUGAGAUAUUCUAAUAGAACGUUCUCACAAUUUUUGUAAAAUAUUUAUAUAUGCACAAACACAGAAUUUAAAAAUAUGUCUUAAUAUUUGCUAUAAUUAUUGUUAUAAAUAUUAUUUUAAAAUAAUUCGCCAGAAAUCGUCCCGGUAGUAUACUAAACAACUUCCCAAAGUUUCAUGGCAAACAUCUAAAAUAAAAUAAUACUUUUAAUACUUUGCUACAAUAUUAAAAAGAGGGGUGCUUAGGUGUUUAAAAUGUAAAAUGUGCUCUAAAUAGUAUUACAUAGAGCCUUCAUAACAAACAUAUUUAAAAUAAACCAAUUAAAAUAUAAUAAUGCUGUAAAAAAAAGACUUUGCUACAAUAAUAUAAAAGAAAUGAAAAUAAAAAAAAGACACCCACGCUGAGCCUCGAACCUAGGUUUGUUAUAAAUAUUAUUUAAAAAUUGUUUAUGUUAAUUUUUAUUUUAAAAAGCCUACAUUUUAAAUAAAAUAAUAUUUUUAAUAAUUUGCUACAAUAAUAUAAAAGAAAUGAAAAAAAAAAAACACCCACGCUGAGUCUCGAACCUAGGUUGUGGGGGUACGAAGCUGUGUACCUAACCUAUAGGCUAAGCUUGACGUUACAAAUAUGCUCAUGCGAGGCUAUUUCAGGCCAUACGCCUGCCGCGAGGGGGCGCUGAUUGCGAGUGAAUUUACGUUUUAUUGUAAAUAAAAAUGCAACGAAAGGUUAUUUCUAAAGAGUAAUUAGCCAGAAACCAUCCCGGUAGUAUACUAAACAACUUCCCAAAGUUUCAUCACGAUCGGUAGAGCGAUGUAGAAGAUUAUCACUUACGAACGGACCAACAAACAUUCAUUUUUAUAUAUAUAGAUAAACACAAGGUAAUAAGACCAAAUCCAAAUGAAUAAAUAGUAUGUGAUGUUUAGGUAACAGCUUUGUUACCAUCUUCAGAAUUUGAUUCAGUACUUGUGUCUGAAGAUGGUAACAACACUAUUACCGAAACAUCACACACUAUUUAUUUAUUUGGUGUUAUUACCUUGUGUUGAUUUAUUGUUCACAUAUAUGAUUUUCAAAAUACAAUGGUUGGCCUUGAGGAAGCAGAAUGGUUACUCUUGUUCAUGAACUUAUCAUUAUCAUCUUGCAAUUGAAAGCUAUCAAAUAGUCUCAUCCCCAAAUAUCAUUCACUAUAGUACAGUAGGAGUACUUGCUAGGGAACAUCUCUUUACAAAGAACAGUUGCCAUCACCCAAAUCUAGUUGCAGGGCCAUAGAGUGUCUUUUAGUGAGAAGUGUCCUCUUACUAGAGAUCAGCUAAUAGUAAAAAAUGAUCAAUUUUGGUGAUGAAAUUGGUCCUUUGUAGAGAGGUGUCCUCUCAUGGAGGUAGUUCUAAUGUAUUAUUAGAAUCAGUUAUUAUAUUAAAUAAUGGUGGUUAAUAUAUUUUUCAUGUUAGCUUCAGUGUUUACCUUGUGCUAACCUAUCAGAAAUAAUUUUUGUCUACACUCAGGUAUGGGGCAGAAAUAAAGAAGAUCUAUUUCUAUAGCUCUCUCAACAAUAAUGUGAAAAGGCCAAAUCCAAAUAAAUAAACAAUGUGUUACAUCUAGGUAACCAUGUGUUUCCAUCAUCUUCUUCUUUCUUAUCUCCACUCAAUCAUAUUAGGGUGUCAAGCUUGUAAAGCUUGAGACUUUUGAUGGUGUCUGCCGGGGAAGUGUAGAGCUCAUCAAUGGAUGAAUCAAUACAGUCAAUUAUUUCCAUCAUGACUGGGUGAAGUAGAAUGUGUCUGCCUUUGCCUUUUUUUCUAAUCCAUUAGUUGAAUGCUUAAACCACAACUCACACAGACCUCCUAGUAUAUUGAUGACUUGCUGUUGUAGAUAUCUUGUUGUUUAGGUCACAGUACUGUGCUCCGGGGAUGUCUCACAAGCCAGACAUUUUGUGCAGUUUAGGAAGUGUUUGGUUUUGCCUUUGUCAUUAAGACUGGGAGCACUACUCAGUAGCAGACCGAAUUAGCUCCAAUAUGAAAUGGCUGCCUCAGGCAUGAGGAACAGAUGCCAUGUGCAACCGCUCCUAACAUGGAGUACAGACGCUGCUCAUCCUAGGUCAGCUGAGUCCAGGACUUUUAGCG